AUAUCUCCGGUGGAUUGCCUA
rnacentral:siRNA from 1 species